rnacentral:rRNA from 1 species
UGGGGAAUAUUGGACAAUGGGCGCAAGCCUGAUCCAGCCAUGCCGCGUGAGUGAUGAAGGCCAUAGGGGUGUAAAGAUCGUUCACCGGGGAAGAGAAUGACGGUAACCGGAGAAGAAGCCCCGGAGAAGUUCGUGCCAGCAGCCGCGGUAAUACGAAGGGGGCUAGCGUUGUUCGGAUUUACUGGGCGUAAAGCGCACGUAGGCGGACUAUUAAGUCAGGGGUGAAAUCCCGGGGCUCAACCCCGGAACUGCCUUUGAUACUGGUAGUCUUGAGUUCGAGAGAGGUGAGUGGAAUUCCGAGUGUAGAGGUGAAAUUCGUAGAUAUUCGGAGGAACACCAGUGGCGAAGGCGGCUCACUGGCUCGAUACUGACGCUGAGGUGCGAAAGCGUGGGGAGCAAACAGG